rnacentral:rRNA from 1 species
AUUGAACGCUGGCGGCAGGCCUAACACAUGCAAGUCGAGCGAGCGGCGGACGGGUGAGUAAUGUAUGGGGACUGCCCGAUAGAGGGGGAUAAAUACUGGAAACAGUAGCUAAAAACGCAUACUAUCGGAUAACCCAUAUGGGAGUAGCUCGUAGGUGAGGUAAUGGCUCACCUAGGCGACGAUCCCUAGCUGGUCUGAGAGGAUGAUCAGCCACACUGGAACUGAGACACGGCCCAGACUCCUACGGAGGCAGCAGUGGGGAAUAUUGCACAAUGGGCGCAAGCCUGAUACAGCCAUGCCGCGUGGAUGAAGAAGGCCCUAGGGUUGUAAAGUACUUUCAGUCGGGAGGCGUUACCGACAGAAGAAGCACCGGCUAACUCCGUGCCAGCCGCCGCGGUAAUUC